ACGUAGGAGGCGAGCGUUAUCCGGAUUUACUGGGUGUAAAGCGCGUGCAGGCGGUUCUGCAAGUGGGACGUGAAAGCGCUCUGGCUCAACCGGGCGAGGACGUGCGGAACUGCUGAACUGGAGGCAGGUAGAGGCGUGUGGAAUUCCGGGUGUAGUGGUGAAAUGCGUAGAGAUCCGGAGGAACCCCAGUGGCGAAGGCGACCUGCUCGGCCUUGCCUGACGCUCAGACGCGAAAGCAUGGGGAGCGAACGG
rnacentral:rRNA from 1 species